AAUUCAAAUUAGAUGUCCUUCUGGAUGAGUUUGUUCUCCUUAAUUCAAAUAUAAAGGCUUUCAGGUAAGCAUCAUCACCUUGAGAGAAUUCUUACAUCUACUUCACUUGUUGCACUAUGUGAUGGUGUGAUUAUUCUCCGUUUUGGGUGCUUUUAGGUUGCACCAGCGGAGCUAGAAGAGUUGCUUCUCACUCAUCUUGAAAUAGUUGAUGCUGCUGUUAUAGGUUAGGGACAGCUUCUAGAGAAACGACGAAUCUAAUGAUUCUUUCAUGUUUCAAGUUAAAUGCUUUUGAGUAUCUUAACCUUCCAUUUACAUCCUCUAUAGAAGAUGUGAAAAGACAAUAUUGUAAGGUCUAGCUAACUAAAGCUCACAACUGUUACUCGAUCAGCAAGAGAGGGAUUAUAGGUUAAUGCUGCAAGAGAUUGACAUGUUACAUGGAGAAGUUCUUGCCUGCUGAUAUGGCUUAUGAAAGUUUAUUGGAAAUAUUAUGAUGUGUGGGUAUUGUAUGUAAGAUUGUCAUUUGAAAGAUACUAUUAUGGUGUACGUAGCAUUUUAGAUGUUUGUUAUGAUGUUGGGAGAUGUUGUAAAAGAAUGGAACUCAUUUGUAGAUGUUGGAUGAUUUGUUAUUUUCA